rnacentral:rRNA from 1 species
UACGUAGGGUGCAAGCGUUGUCCGGAAUUAUUGGGCGUAAAGAGCUCGUAGGCGGUCUGUCGCGUCGGAUGUGAAAACCCAGGGCUCAACCCUGGGCCUGCAUUCGAUACGGGCAGACUAGAGUUCGGUAGGGGAGACUGGAAUUCCUGGUGUAGCGGUGAAAUGCGCAGAUAUCAGGAGGAACACCGGUGGCGAAGGCGGGUCUCUGGGCCGAAACUGACGCUGAGGAGCGAAGCGUGGGAGCAACAGG